AACCUUAUUUAAGGACCCCUCUCAUUCUCCUCUCUUCAACUCCUCCUCUUCUUUCUCUCCCUCUAUUUCUCAUUCUUCUUACAUUAUUAAUAUCAAACAAUGGAAGGAAAACUUAGAUUGACAGAGGCAAUGAGGAGGAGACGGAGACAACAUAAGACCUCGAGGCUGAGGAGGAGAUCUCUCGGCGUCAAUUCGGUCCACCGGAAGGUGAAAGAGCUCAAGAGGUUGGUCCCCGGAGGAAGAGGUUUGUGCUCUGAGCAACUUUUCACGAGGACCGCAAACUACAUCUCUGAGUUGAGGAUGCAACUCCAAAUGUUGAGAGCUCUCUCUGAUUUAUAUUUCCCAUGAGAUUUUACGAUAUGCAGAUCAUAUGAUGGGGAUAUAUUGACUGUUGUGAUGCUGUCUUAUAAACUCAAGUUAAAUAGCUAUGAACUGACGGCCUUUCUACAAAA